GUCCAGACUAGCAAUUUUAUUUUCUGUUUCAAUCUUGAUCAUAUUCUCGUAUAUCGAAAAUGAAAACUUACAUGGAAAAAUAUAUUAAUAAAAGUAAAGUGAAACGAUACAAAGUUUCGCGGUGUUUAACGGCGAAAGUAUCGAGGGAAUAUAUUAAGUUUUGUAACAAGUUCAGGAUAGGUGCUCGACGCGAACACGCACAAAAAUAUUGCAAAAAUUCAAGUACGUACCUAGAGGGGUAAGAUAGAUGGCCGGGUGGCGGUGUUCAUAUUGUUGAGGUUGACAGCUUCUGGUAAACGCGUCACAAGGCGAAAACCAUCAGAAUGUCAACUCAUCUAGUACAAUAAAAAUAUAUUUGAAAACAAAAA